rnacentral:rRNA from 1 species
GACGAACGCUGGCGGCGUGCUUAACACAUGCAAGUCGAACGGAAAGGCCCUGCUUUUGUGGGGUGCUCGAGCGGCGAACGGGUGAGUAACACGUGAGUAACCUGCCCUUGACUUUGGGAUAACUUCAGGAAACUGGGGCUAAUACCGGAUAGGAGCUCCUGCUGCAUGGUGGGGGUUGGAAAGUUUCGGCGGUUGGGGAUGGACUCGCGGCUUAUCAGCUUGUUGGUGGGGUAGUGGCUUACCAAGGCUUUGACGGGUAGCCGGCCUGAGAGGGUGACCGGCCACAUUGGGACUGAGAUACGGCCCAGACUCCUACGGGAGGCAGCAGUGGGGAAUAUUGCACAAUGGGCGGAAGCCUGAUGCAGCAACGCCGCGUGCGGGAUGACGGCCUUCGGGUUGUAAACCGCUUUCGCCUGUGACGAAGCGUGAGUGACGGUAAUGGGUAAAGAAGCACCGGCUAACUACGUGCCAGCAGCCGCGGUGAUACGUAGGGUGCGAGCGUUGUCCGGAUUUAUUGGGCGUAAAGGGCUCGUAGGUGGUUGAUCGCGUCGGAAGUGUAAUCUUGGGGCUUAACCCUGAGCGUGCUUUCGAUACGGGUUGACUUGAGGAAGGUAGGGGAGAAUGGAAUUCCUGGUGGAGCGGUGGAAUGCGCAGAUAUCAGGAGGAACACCAGUGGCGAAGGCGGUUCUCUGGGCCUUUCCUGACGCUGAGGAGCGAAAGCGUGGGGAGCGAACAGGCUUAGAUACCCUGGUAGUCCACGCUGUAAACGGUGGGUACUAGGCGUGGGGUCCAUUCCACGGGUUCCGUGCCGUAGCUAACGCUUUAAGUACCCCGCCUGGGGAGUACGGCCGCAAGGCUAAAACUCAUAGGAAUUGACGGGGCCCCGCACAAGCGGCGGAGCAUGCGGAUUAAUUCGAUGCAACGCGUAGAACCUUACCUGGGUUUGACAUGGAUCGGGAGUGCUCAGAGAUGGGUGUGCCUCUUUUGGGGUCGGUUCACAGGUGGUGCAUGGCUGUCGUCAGCUCGUGUCGUGAGAUGUUGGGUUAAGUCCCGCAACGAGCGCAACCCUUGUUCACUGUUGCCAGCACGUUAUGGUGGGGACUCAGUGGAGACCGCCGGGGUCAACUCGGAGGAAGGUGGGGAUGACGUCAAGUCAUCAUGCCCCUUAUGUCCAGGGCUUCACGCAUGCUACAAUGGCUGGUACAGAGAGUGGCGAGCCUGUGAGGGUGAGCGAAUCUCGGAAAGCCGGUCUCAGUUCGGAUUGGGGUCUGCAACUCGACCUCAUGAAGUCGGAGUCGCUAGUAAUCGCAGAUCAGCAACGCUGCGGUGAAUACGUUCCCGGGGCU